rnacentral:rRNA from 1 species
CCUACGGGUGGCAGCAGUGGGGGAUAUUGCACAAUGGGGGAAACCCUGAUGCAGCGACGCCGCGUGUGGGAAGACGGUCUUCUGGAUUGUAAACCACUGUCCCCAGGGACGAAAAUGACGGUACCUGGGGAGGAAGCUCCGGCUAACUACGUGCCAGCAGCCGCGGUAAUACGUAGGGAGCAAGCGUUGUCCGGAAUUACUGGGUGUAAAGGGAGCGUAGGCGGGGAUGCAAGUUGGGUGUCAAAACUACCGGCUCAACCGAUAGUCGCACUCAAAACUGCAACUCUUGAGUGAAGUAGAGGCAGGCGGAAGUCCUAGUGUAGCGGUGAAAUGCGUAGAUAUUAGGAGGAACACCAGUGGCGAAGGCGGCCUGCUGGGCUUUUACUGACGCUGAGGCUCGAAAGUGUGGGGAGCAAACAGGAUUAGAUACCCUUGUAGUC